rnacentral:rRNA from 1 species
AUUGAACGCUGGCGGCAGGCCUAACACAUGCAAGUCGAGCGGAGCGGCGGACGGGUGAGUAAUGCCUAGGAAUCGGCCUGGUCGUGGGGGAUAAAGUCCGGAAAAGGGCGCUAAUACAGAAUCCUUUCAGAUGAGUCUAGGUCGGUUGAGCUAGUUGGUGGGGUAAAGGCAUACCAAGGCGACGAUCCAUAACUGGUCUGAGAGGAUGAUCAGUCACACUGGGACUGAGACACGGCCCAGACUCCUACGUGAGGCAGCAGUGGGGAAUAUUGGACAAUGGGCGAAAGCCUGAUCCAGCCAUGCCGCGUGUAUGAAGAAGGUCUUCGGAUUGUAAAGUACUUUAAGUUGGGAGGCGUUACCAACAGAAUAAGCACCGGCUAACUUCGUGCCAGCAGCCGCGGUAAUUC